rnacentral:misc_RNA from 1 species
UAACCAGCUUGUGUAUUGCAGUACA